GGCUGGGAAAACUGCGGCCUCGGUCGGCUGGGCCUGUGGGCCUGCGUCCGGCAGCGCGCGGCAGUGCUUUCUAAGCGGGCUCUGUAGCUUCAGACCUCACCGGCCUGGCGCGGGGCUCACAAGUGCUCGCACUCCCUGCGGCCGGCGCGCUGACCGGAGCCUCUGGGUCUCGCACGCAGCAGCUGCAGACGCUGUCCUGCGCGGUGGGGCUGUGAGCAAAAUGGCCCGCCAGUGUGGUUGCUCAGACUGUGCUGGGCCCUCCUAGGAGGAUGGCCCUGCCCCAGCCUAACUUCUGUACCCCAGCAUAACCUCCAAAGUAACAGCCGUGCCCUGGGAGCCUGUUCAACACUGAACAUAUCCCACAAUAACACAGUUCCAGCGUCGCUGGUAAAAAGCAGAAAUGGCUUCGGGGAGAAGGCAACAAAUCAAGACUCUAACCAGCUUAGGCAAAAGGAAGAACUUAUAUAAAGUAUACGGGGACGAGUUGAACAACCUACUCUACAGAUAAGAAUCCAGCUAGCCUAGGGACCAGCAAUAUUAGAUCCUCUGCUUGCUUCUUUUUUCUGUAGACCAACUUUUCUACGGGAACACAGCUGCCUAGCACACCCAAGGUUUUCACUUUAUGGCUUCAAGAAUGAGAGACCAACUUGCUUUCUAUAUUUUUUCCUAUCCAAGACCCAAAUUCCUGGGGAUGGGACUCACUGGCUCUGAUUAGCUGGAGGCAUCAAUAAAUCUAAUGCAGUGACCUCAUGUUACAGAAGAGAACUCUAAGAGGAUAAAUAACUUGGCCAAGAUCACAUGGUAAAUAGUGAAAACAUCUGGGCUGGAAUCCAAGUGUUAUUUUUUAUCUAGUGCUGCUAUCUUGAUCUCAUUAUUUGUUUAGAAAUACUUUAGCUUUUGCCAAAAAUAUUUAACAAUUAUGGGUUCUUAUUUGUACAAUCUUUGAAUCAAACUAUACAUAAAUCCCAGGUCUCCCAGUGUCCAGUAGCAGCAAGGCUUAGAGGAGGUCAGAACAUUAGCUCAGAAACUGAGGAACAUGAGUUAUAUGCAGUACUCUGUGCUGAGUGAAAGGCCACUUCUGCACAGAGAUGACUUGCAAAGAAAGCUGCAGGAAAGGCCAGGAUUUAGGAAGCAGCUUUGGUUUCUAUUAGCUCCAGGAUAGUACUGUAAUGCUAGAUCAGGGUAUAUCACAAUUUAAUAUUGCAAUGAUGAUCUGACCAAUAAAGAUUUCAAAGCAAGCAUUGCCAGUAGGGGCGCCAUGCAUAGCAGACGGACAAUAACAUGUAAACCAGUGGCUCCAACCUUUUUGGCACCUGGGACUGAUUUUGUGGAGGACAGUUUUUCCAGGGACUGG